ACCGGUCCCGGCAGUUUGCGGUCCAGCUUUCCUGUGAGCACUUCCUCUUGCGGCCCUAGCGGGGGCUGGCUGCACCCCUAGGCACGCACACACUCGGGCUUCCUACGCCGUCUCUUCUGUUCCUGACUCCUAAGGUCGGGAUGAGGAAUUAACUAAGGAGAAUUAAGGUGACUCCAGCUGGUGCCCAGGAAAGACUGAAUGCCAUGGUUGCUGGGUGACCUUGCAAAGGACUCUUACCCUACCCGAUCCUUUUGCCUGAGUGGCCGACAAGAACCGAAUAGUUAAAAACGGAAACCUCUCUGCUAUGGCUGCCACGUGAGACCCAGAGGAAGCUCCUGGCUCCUGGUUUUGGAUCAGCACAGCUCCGGCCGUUGCGGCCUUCUGGUUCCCUGAUAUGGCCUGAGAAAGCAGCAAAAGAUGGCCCAAGUCCUUGGGCCUCUGCACCUACGUGGGAGAUCUCGAAGAAGCUCCUGGCUCCUGGCUUUGGAUCGGCCCAGCUCCAGCUAUCUGGGGAGGGAACCAGUGGAUGGAAGAGCUCUCUCUCUCUCCCUCCCUCCCUCCCUUCCUCUCUCUAUCUAUCUCUCUGUACUUCUC